rnacentral:rRNA from 1 species
UCUAGAAUCCUGCAGAGAUGCGGGAGUGCCUUCGGGAAUUAGAAUACAGGUGCUGCAUGGCUGUCGUCAGCUCGUGUCGUGAGAUGUUGGGUUAAGUCCCGCAACGAGCGCAACCCUUGUCCUUAGUUACCAGCGGGUUAAGCCGGGAACUCUAAGGAUACUGCCAGUGACAAACUGGAGGAAGGCGGGGACGACGUCAAGUCAUCAUGGCCCUUACGACCAGGGCUACACACGUGCUACAAUGGUAGGUACAGAGGGCAGCUACACAGCGAUGUGAUGCGAAUCUCAAAAAGCCUAUCGUAGUCCAGAUUGGAGUCUGCAACUCGACUCCAUGAAGUAGGAAUCGCUAGUAAUCGCGGAUCANAAUGCCCGCGGUGAAUAC